rnacentral:rRNA from 1 species
UACGUAGGUGGCGAGCGUUGUCCGGAUUUACUGGGCGUAAAGGGAGCGUAGGCGGACUUUUAAGUAAGAUGUGAAAUACCCGGGCUCAACUUGGGUGCUGCAUUUCAAACUGGAAGUCUAGAGUGCAGGAGAGGAGAAUGGAAUUCCUAGUGUAGCGGUGAAAUGCGUAGAGAUUAGGAAGAACACCAGUGGCGAAGGCGAUUCUCUGGACUGUAACUGACGCUGAGGCUCGAAAGCGUGGGGAGCAAAC